rnacentral:tRNA from 2 species
CGGGGCGUAGCGCAGUCCGGUUAGCGCACCAGCAUGGGGGGCUGGGGGUCGUCGGUUCAAAUCCGACCGCCCCGA